ACAAAUUAUUAUUUCUUUACAAAACAAAUUAUUAUUUCUUUACAAAACAAAUUAUUAUUUCUUUACAAAACAAAUUAUUAUUUCUUUACAAAACAAAUUAUUAUUUCUUUACAAAACAAAUUAUUAUUGGCACAGCCACACGCACAGCCACAGGCACAGCCACAGGCACAGCCACAGGCACAGCCACAGGCACAGCCACAGGCACAGCCACAGGCACAGCCACAGGCACAGCCACAGGCACAGCCACAGGCACAGCCACAGGCACAGCCACAGGCACAGCCACAGGCACAGCCA